AAAAAGAACAGACCACAUUUGUGCAAUCCACCGCGUCCUCGAUGGAGAACGGAGAUAAAUGGAAAUGGUUCAUUUGAAAAAUGAAUGUGCGCUUGAUCUGACCUUCAGUUGCCGAGUAAAAUGAUAAAUAUCGCUAAUAUAGAAUCUGUAGACAUAUAAAUCCAUAUAAAUGUAUGCUAGAACAUUGAUUAUGCGAGCCGCGAGAGGUCAAUUUUUGCGAAACCUGAGUUCAAAGUUCACGCUAUUUUCGAACAUGAGUCUCAUCGUGGAGCCGAUGCAGCGCGGACAGCCCGGAAUAUCAAGGACGUUUGGCGAGGAUACGGCUGAUGAAUGCACAGUCGACGUCCCGUUCGUCGUGCGCGGAGACUUCAAGCCAGCUCGACUCCGACACGAGUUAUCCGCUGGACUACAACGAAGAGGAAUACGAAUACCGCGAGCCGGUGCAACUUCCUUUAGCACCGUCCUACAAGAAGAAGUGGUGACAGGAACUUCCACAUGGCCGACGUUAACGCGACGAUCGAGAACGAGAAAUCUCUGCCUCCAAGAGGGAAGUUUCGCAGAAGCGUCAAGUUGAGAUAAGCGCAGAGGCAAUAGCAGUGCAACAGGAUCGGGAUGACGAUGUCUCCCUCGAAGAAGCGCUCAUGGAUUCAUUACAGGUUCAUCUCCAGAUGUUUUGUAGCCAAUGAAGUGAGUCGUACAGCAUCUGAAGAUGAAUGAGACGAUCUUAAAUGUAAGAUCCGUCUAUGAAUGCCGUUCUAAGUCGUUUAUGCGAGCGGACGUUGCACUGACAAUAGCACUCGGGUGUCGGAUUUAACCGUGUUUCGUCAUGUGAUGAAGAGUUUAUUCUACCGAUAUCCGUUGCAACGCACGUGACAGCCAGGGGAUCCUUCCGUCGGCGAUAGCAAUUGUCUCGCUUACCGAUGGAAUUUAUUUUUACUUUAUUUAUCCUUUUUUAACGUAUCUCGCGCGACCGCCGAUCUCGUCGACUCGCCGUCUUUAAGGACACGCGCAACAGUGUGCCGGUACCAUCCCUAACGGGUCCUCUUAAAACCUCGGUCUCCCCCGUUUCGCGCUCGACCUUCUCAAUGACGAUCUUACCGUGAUUGGGCGGCGCAUGGCGGCACCAGCGAUUCUCAUUGGUCGGUGGAAACUUUUCAUGGGGUUGAAGACGAGUGUUGGUUCAUCCCGUUCAGCGUGCCGGUCCCUGAAUGUAUUCCUUGUGACGUCACCGGAGCCCACGGGGUGUGUGAUGCGAAGAGGCGGCGGUAACGAAGAGCACGCGCAAGAAUUGCAAGAUCCUCAAUAAACGAGACGCGCGACCGUUUAUCGUCCCGUCGUUGCUUUUGCAGUGAUUUUUCUUCCGUUCGAACGAUAAAACGGAGAGGGUUUUCUCUCCUCUCGCGCGAUAAUUUGGAAAAUAAUCUAAACUCGUCGUAAAUGUUGCGCAAUUGUCGUUGCAUUGAUAAUAUAUGUUACGGGGUUAUUGAUAUACAAAUAAAAUUUGUAUAAAAUCAUUACGCACACCGAAAAAAAGUUUCUCUGGAUUUAAUAUAUAUGUGU